rnacentral:rRNA from 1 species
CGGAGGGAUCAUUAUCGAGUUACCGCUCCUUAUAACCCUUUGUGAACAUACCCCAAACGUUGCCUCGGCGGGCAGCCGGAGCCCAGCUCCGGCGCCCGGAGCCGCCGUCUCGGCGCGCCCCACCCGCCGGCGGACCACUAAACUCUAUUUAAACGACGUCUCUUCUGAGUGGCACAAGCAAAUAAUCAAAACUUUUAACAACGGAUCUCUUGGUUCUGGCAUCGAUGAAGAACGCAGCGAAAUGCGAUAAGUAAUGUGAAUUGCAGAAUUCAGUGAAUCAUCGAAUCUUUGAACGCACAUUGCGCCCGCCAGCAUUCUGGCGGGCAUGCCUGUUCGAGCGUCAUUUCAACCCUCAAGCACCGCUUGGCGUUGGGGCCCUACGGCUUCCGUAGGCCCCGAAAUACAGUGGCGGACCCUCCCGGAGCCUCCUUUGCGUAGUAACAUACCACCUCGCACUGGGAUCCGGAGGGACUCCUGCCGUAAAACCCCCCAAUUUUCCAAAGGUUGACCUCGGAUCAGGUAGGAAUACCCGCUGAACUUAAGCAUAUCAAUAAGCGGAGGAAAAGAAACCAACAGGGAUUGCCUCAGUAACGGCGAGUGAAGCGGCAACAGCUCAAAUUUGAAAUCUGGCCCCCAGGGUCCGAGUUGUAAUUUGCAGAGGAUGCUUUUGGCGCGGUGCCUUCCGAGUUCCCUGGAACGGGACGCCAUAGAGGGUGAGAGCCCCGUACGGUUGGACACCAAGCCUGUGUAAAGCUCCUUC